rnacentral:rRNA from 1 species
UUGUGUCUUCGAGUCGUUGAUUUCACACUGCCGAGAAAAGCCUCUAGAUAGAAAAUAGGUGCCCGUACCGCAAACCGACACAGGUAGUCAAGAUGAGAAUUCUAAGGUGAGCGAGCGAACUCUCGUUAAGGAACUCGGCAAAAUGACCCCGUAACUUCGGGAGAAGGGGUGCUCUUUAGGGUUAACGCCCAGAAGAGCCGCAGUGAAUAGGCCCAAGCGACUGUUUAUCAAAAACACAGGUCUCUGCUAAACCGUAAGGUGAUGUAUAGGGGCUGACGCCUGCCCGGUGCUGGAAGGUUAAGAGGAGUGGUUAGCUUCUGCGAAGCUACGAAUCGAAGCCCCAGUAAACGGCGGCCGUAACUAUAACGGUCCUAAGGUAGCGAAAUUCCUUGUCGGGUAAGUUCCGACCCGCACGAAAGGCGUAACGAUUUGGGCACUGUCUCAACGAGAGACUCGGUGAAAUCAUAGUACCUGUGAAGAUGCAGGUUACCCGCGACAGGACGGAAAGACCCCGUGGAGCUUUACUGUAGCCUGAUAUUGAAAUUCGGCACAGCUUGUACAGGAUAGGUAGGAGCCUUUGAAACGUGAGCGCUAGCUUACGUGGAGGCGCUGGUGGGAUACUACCCUAGCUGUGUUGGCUUUCUAACCCGCACCACUUAUCGUGGUGGGAGACAGUGUCAGGCGGGCAGUUUGACUGGGGCGGUCGCCUCCUAAAAGGUAACGGAGGCGCUCAAAGGUUCCCUCAGAAUGGUUGGAAAUCAUUCAUAGAGUGUAAAGGCAUAAGGGAGCUUGACUGCGAGACCUACAAGUCGAGCAGGGUCGAAAGACGGACUUAGUGAUCCGGUGGUUCCGCAUGGAAGGGCCAUCGCUCAACGGAUAAAAGCUACCCCGGGGAUAACAGGCUUAUCUCCCCCAAGAGUUCACAUCGACGGGGAGGUUUGGCACCUCGAUGUCGGCUCAUCGCAUCCUGGGGCUGUAGUCGGUCCCAAGGGUUGGGCUGUUCGCCCAUUAAAGCGGUACGCGAGCUGGGUUCAGAACGUCGUGAGACAGUUCGGUCCCUAUCCGUCGUGGGCGUAGGAAAUUUGAGAGGAGCUGUCCUUAGUACGAGAGGACCGGGAUGGACAUACCUCUGGUGUACCAGUUGUCGUGCCAACGGCAUAGCUGGGUAGCUAUGUGUGGACGGGAUAAGUGCUGAAAGCAUCUAAGCAUGAAGCCCCCCUCAAGAUGAGAUUUCCCAACUUCGGUUAUAAGAUCCCUCAAAGAUGAUGAGGUUAAUAGGUUCGAGGUGGAAGCAUGGUGACAUGUGGAGCUGACGAAUACUAA